rnacentral:rRNA from 1 species
GAUGAACGCUGGCGGCGUGCCUAAUACAUGCAAGUCGAGCGAACGGACGAGAAGCUUGCUUCUCUGAUGUUAGCGGCGGACGGGUGAGUAACACGUGGAUAACCUACCUAUAAGACUGGGAUAACUUCGGGAAACCGGAGCUAAUACCGGAUAAUAUUUUGAACCGCAUGGUUCAAAAGUGAAAGACGGUCUUGCUGUCACUUAUAGAUGGAUCCGCGCUGCAUUAGCUAGUUGGUAAGGUAACGGCUUACCAAGGCAACGAUGCAUAGCCGACCUGAGAGGGUGAUCGGCCACACUGGAACUGAGACACGGUCCAGACUCCUACGGGAGGCAGCAGUAGGGAAUCUUCCGCAAUGGGCGAAAGCCUGACGGAGCAACGCCGCGUGAGUGAUGAAGGUCUUCGGAUCGUAAAACUCUGUUAUUAGGGAAGAACAUAUGUGUAAGUAACUGUGCACAUCUUGACGGUACCUAAUCAGAAAGCCACGGCUAACUACGUGCCAGCAGCCGCGGUAAUACGUAGGUGGCAAGCGUUAUCCGGAAUUAUUGGGCGUAAAGCGCGCGUAGGCGGUUUUUUAAGUCUGAUGUGAAAGCCCACGGCUCAACCGUGGAGGGUCAUUGGAAACUGGAAAACUUGAGUGCAGAAGAGGAAAGUGGAAUUCCAUGUGUAGCGGUGAAAUGCGCAGAGAUAUGGAGGAACACCAGUGGCGAAGGCGACUUUCUGGUCUGUAACUGACGCUGAUGUGCGAAAGCGUGGGGAUCAAACAGGAUUAGAUACCCUGGUAGUCCACGCCGUAAACGAUGAGUGCUAAGUGUUAGGGGGUUUCCGCCCCUUAGUGCUGCAGCUAACGCAUUAAGCACUCCGCCUGGGGAGUACGACCGCAAGGUUGAAACUCAAAGGAAUCGACGGGGACCCGCACAAGCGGUGGAGCAUGUGGUUUAAUUCGAAGCAACGCGAAGAACCUUACCAAAUCUUGACAUCCUUUGACAACUCUAGAGAUAGAGCCUUCCCCUUCGGGGGACAAAGUGACAGGUGGUGCAUGGUUGUCGUCAGCUCGUGUCGUGAGAUGUUGGGUUAAGUCCCGCAACGAGCGCAACCCUUAAGCUUAGUUGCCAUCAUUAAGUUGGGCACUCUAAGUUGACUGCCGGUGACAAACCGGAGGAAGGUGGGGAUGACGUCAAAUCAUCAUGCCCCUUAUGAUUUGGGCUACACACGUGCUACAAUGGACAAUACAGAGGGCAGCGAAACCGCGAGGUCAAGCAAAUCCCAUAAAGUUGUUCUCAGUUCGGAUUGUAGUCUGCAACUCGACUACAUGAAGCUGGAAUCGCUAGUAAUCGUAGAUCAGCAUGCUACGGUGAAUACGUUCCCGGGUCU